rnacentral:rRNA from 1 species
GCGGCCGCUCUGGUUGUUCCUGGCGGAGGCCACUGCUAUCGGAGUUCCAUUAAGCCAUGCGAGUCGAGAGGUGCAAGACCUCGGCAUACUGCUCAGUAACACGUGGACAACCUACCCUAUGGAGGGGGAUAACCCCGGGAAACUGGGGAUAAUACCCCAUAGACUAUAGAUGCUGGAAUGCUUUGUAGUUGAAAGGUCCGCCGCCAUAGGAUGGGUCUGCGGCCGAUUAGGUUGUUGUUGGGGUAACGGCCCAACAAGCCUGUAAUCGGUACGGGUUGUGGGAGCAAGAGCCCGGAGAUGGAUUCUGAGACACGAAUCCAGGCCCUACGGGGCGCAGCAGGCGCGAAAACUUUACAAUGCGGGAAACCGUGAUAAGGGAACUCCGAGUGCCCGUAAAAUCGGGCUGUCCAUCUGUUUAAAUAACAGGUGAAGAAAGGGCCGGGCAAGACCGGUGCCAGCCGCCGCGGUAAUACCGGCGGCUCGAGUGGUGGCCACUAUUACUGGGCUUAAAGCGUUCGUAGCUGGUCUGUUAAGUCUCUGGGGAAAUCUACUGGCUUAAUCAAUAGGCGUCUCAGGGAUACUGGCAGACUAGGGACCGGGAGUAGGUGAGAGGUACUCCAGGGGUAGGAGUGAAAUUCUGUAAUCCUUGGGGGACCACCUGUGGCGAAGGCGUCUCUACCAGAACGGCUCCGACAGUGAGGGACGAAAGCUGGGGGAGCAAACCGGAUUAGAUACCCGGGUAGUCCCAGCCGUAAACGAUGCGCGUUAGGUGUAUCGGUGACCACGAGUCACCGAGGUGCCGAAGAGAAAUUGUGAAACGUGCCGCCUGGGAAGUACGGUCGCAAGGCUGAAACUUAAAGGAAUUGGCGGGGGAGCACUACAACAGGUGGAGCCUGCGGUUUAAUCGGACUCAACGCCGGAAAUCUCACCGGAUAAGACAGCUGGAUGAUAGUCGGGCUGAAGACUCUACUUGACUAGCUGAGAGGAGGUGCAUGGCCGUCGUCAGUUCGUACUGUGAAGCAUCCUGUUUAGUCAGGCAACGAGCGAGACCC